AACGCGAAGAACCUUACCAGGCCUUGACAUGCAGAGAGGUUUACAGAGAUGGAGUUUGGUCCCUUACGGGAACUCAGUGACAGGUGCCCCAUGGGUGUCGUCAGCUCGUGUCGUGAGAUGUUGGGUUAAGUCCCGCAACGAGCGCAAAACCCUUGUCCUUAGUUACCAGCAUUAAGGUGGGCACUCUAAGGGAACUGCCGGUGACAAACCGGAGGAAGGUGGGGAUGACGUCAAUUCAUCAUGGCCCUUACGGGCUGGGCUACACACGUGCUACAAUGGUCGGUACAAAGGGUUGCCAAGCCGCGAGGUCGAGCUAAUCCCAAAAAAGGGAUCGUAGUCCGGAUCGCAGUCUGCAACUCGACUGCGUGAAGUCGGAAACGCUAGUAAUCGUGAAUCAGAAUGUGACGGUGAAUACGUUCCCGGGCCUUCUACACACCG
rnacentral:rRNA from 1 species